rnacentral:rRNA from 1 species
GAGUUUGAUCUUGGCUCAGGUUGAACGCUGGCGGCAUGCCUUACACAUGCAAGUCGAACGGCAGCAUGAUCUAGCUUGCUAGAUUGAUGGCGAGUGGCGAACGGGUGAGUAAUACAUCGGAACGUGCCCCUGUAGUGGGGGAUAACUAGUCGAAAGAUUAGCUAAUACCGCAUACGACCUGAGGGUGAAAGUGGGGGACCGCAAGGCCUCAUGCUAUAGGAGCGGCCGAUGUCUGAUUAGCUAGUUGGUGGGUAAAGGCCCACCAAGGCGACGAUCAGUAGCUGGUCUGAGAGGACGAUCAGCCACACUGGGACUGAGACACGGCCCAGACUCCUACGGGAGGCAGCAGUGGGGAAUUUUGGACAAUGGGCGAAAGCCUGAUCCAGCAAUGCCGCGUGUGUG